rnacentral:lncRNA from 1 species
UAUACGGUGCUGACCCGCAUUCGCGAAAUGCAGUGCUCGUGUUAUGUAAUGUUGCGUAAAACCGGCCAUGGUUAUUGUCGUGUUCGUCCAUCCUUUGUUAUUGUCCUGGUUAGGUACUUGUCUGUAUGUGUCCGUGUGAUGGAGUAAUCAGUUAGUGUUGUUUGAGCUGUGAUAGAGUGAGCUUGACAGUGUGAGAGCGAACCGACCGACAGCUUAAGACCUAGGGGUACGGCCUGGUAUGAGAUAGGCCCGUGGUCGAUUCCUAAAAAUUUCAGUUAGGAUCGAACCCUUCGUCCAGUUUGGCAAAAUUCAGUGCCAAAAUCCAUCAUUUACCCAGUCGUCAGGUCAGAAUUGUCGGUGUACUGUAGCAACAUUCAACCUAUGGGCGCAGACUCUCCGCUCAAGUUUAUGCAACCAACAAUAACCAUGGCCGACCCCUUUGACCAGACUUUUGCUUGACCCGCUUUGCAUGAUCUGAGGGAUUUCCACUGACAGAGGACCAUUGAGCCUAGCAGUAGCAGUGAGCACCAGAUCAACCGUCGGGUCGCUGAACGGCGAGUUACAAGUAACUCAAAGGAGUUCCAUUGAACCCCUUCGUAAAUAAGAACUGUUUGGGGAAAUAAUAUACAAAAUUGUAAUUCAACUCGAAAAGAAGUAGAAGAAGACAUAUUGGUCAGUGAUUUUAAUUGGUAAUUAUUGCAUUGUGUUUAUCAAGAAAUUAACGGAAGCAAAUCAUUGUACAAAAGCAAUUGGAUACUAUUUAAAGAAUUGUCAAAACCCAAGAUAGGGUGAAGAAGUACUGUAAGACCUUAUUCUCGACAUCAAGAUCGUUUGUAAAUAAAUUGUAAAUAAGUUUCUGGUAAA